UGCAGCAGUUGUGGUAAACCAAUUACGGAAAAGCUAUUACGUGCAACCGGUGGUGUUUAUCACGUGGACUGUUUUGUGUGUACCGCUUGCAAUAAAUGCUUGGAUGGAGUUUCGUUUACCGUUGAUUCAGCUAAUAAAGUUCAUUGCGUCACCUGU
rnacentral:misc_RNA from 1 species